AGUCAUACCACCUGCAGUUCAGACUAGGUAAUCCAUCUGAAGUUAUGCAGGUUUGGGCCUGGCCAGUACUUGAGUGGGAGACCAACUGGGCAAGUUAAUAAUAAUAAUUU
rnacentral:rRNA from 1 species